UUGUAGGAAUUCUUCCUCUAAUGAAAAGGCAGCGCCUGUCGAACUCGGCGUCCAACAAAUCAAAAUCAACAGCAAAACAACUUGGUUUGAUCCAAGGUCGGCAUUGAUGGGAAUUUAUUACAUCCACUUCCCCAUUCAAGGACGCAAGAGUGACACCAACCAAUUUAGUUUGAAUAAUUUUAUUCAUUUUUCAAGUGAUACUACGUUCAAACUGGGAGGGACUUGAGGCCGUGAUGCACGACAAUGUUUUCUCCUUCCAGCACUGGGUGAAUUUAUUGCGCAUGUGGUUAGAAGAGUAAAAAGAGAGAAACCUUUAUUUUUAGGUCAA